GUGUCAGCAGCCGCGGUAAUACAGAGGGCGCAAGCGUUGUUCGGAAUCAUUGGGCGUAAAGCGCGAGUAGGCGGUCUCUUAAGUCUGAUGUGAAAGCCCGGGGCUUAACCCCGGAAGUGCAUUGGAUACUGGGAGACUAGAGGGUGUAAGAGGAGAGUGGAAUUCAUGGUGUAGGGGUGAAAUGCGCAGAUAUCAGGAGGAACACCGGUGGCGAAGGCGGGACUCUGGGCCGAUACUGACGCUGAGGAGCGAAAGCGUGGGGAGCAAACAGGAUUAGAUACCCUGGUAGUCC
rnacentral:rRNA from 1 species